rnacentral:rRNA from 1 species
AACGAACGCUGGCGGCAGGCUUAACACAUGCAAGUCGAGCGCCCCGCAAGGGGAGCGGCAGACGGGUGAGUAACGCGUGGGAAUCUACCCAUCUCUACGGAAUAACGCAUGGAAACGUGUGCUAAUACCGUAUACGUCCUUCGGGAGAAAGAUUCAUCGGAGAUGGAUGAGCCCGCGUUGAAUUAGCAAGUUGGUGGGGUAAAGGCCUACCAAGGCGACGAUCCAUAGCUGGUCUGAGAGGAUGAUCAGCCACACUGGGACUGAGACACGGCCCAGACUCCUACGGGAGGCAGCAGUGGGGAAUAUUGGACAAUGGGCGCAAGCCUGAUCCAGCCAUGCCGCGUGAGUGAUGAAGGCCCUAGGGUUGUAAAGCUCUUUCACCGGUGAAGAUAAUGACGGUAACCGGAGAAGAAGCCCCGGCUAACUUCGUGCCAGCAGCCGCCGUAAAAC